rnacentral:rRNA from 1 species
UACGGGGGGAGCAAGCGUUGUUCGGAUUUACUGGGCGUAAAGGGCGCGUAGGCGGCCACUGCAAGUCAGUUGUGAAAUCUCCGGGCUUAACCCGGAAAGGUCAACUGAUACUGCAGGGCUAGAGUGCAGAAGGGGCAACUGGAAUUCUCGGUGUAGCGGUGAAAUGCGUAGAUAUCGGGAGGAACACCAGUGGCGAAGGCGACUUUCUGGCUGCUAACUGACACUGAGACGCGAAAGCUAGGGGAGCGAACGGG